rnacentral:rRNA from 1 species
GAGUUUGAUCAUGGCUCAGGAUGAACGCUAGCGGCAGGCCUAAUACAUGCAAGUCGAACGGUAAAUAUUUAGCAAUAAAUAUGAGAGUGACGUACGGGUGCGUAACACGUAUGCAACCUACCCUUUACAGGAGUAUAGCUCGGGGAAACUCGGAUUAAAGCUUCAUAAUAUAUCUGGAUGGCAUCGUUUGGAUAUUAAAUCUACGGAGGUAAAGGAUGGGCAUGCGUCUGAUUAGUUAGUUGGCGGUGUAAUGGACCACCAAGACGAUGAUCAGUAGGGGAACUGAGAGGUUGAUCCCCCACACUGGCACUGAGAUACGGGCCAGACUCCUACGGGAGGCAGCAGUAGGGAAUAUUGGUCAAUGGAUGGAAGUCUGAACCAGCCAUGCCGCGUGCAGGAAGAAGGCCUUCUGGGUUGUAAACUGCUUUUGCCAGGGGCUAAAAAGCUCAUGCGUGAGAAAUUGAAAGUACCUGGUGAAUAAGCCACGGCUAACUACGUGCCAGCA